AGAGUUUGAUCAUGGCUCAGGAUGAACGCUAGCUACAGGCUUAACACAUGCAAGUCGAGGGGCAUCAGGGUGUAGCAAUACACCGCUGGCGACCGGCGCACGGGUGAGUAACACGUAUCCAACCUGCCCUUUACUCGGGGAUAGCCUUUCGAAAGAAAGACUAAUACCCAAUGAUAUCUCUAGAAGACAUCUGAAAGAGAUUAAAGAUUUAUCGGUGAUGGAUGGGGAUGCGUCUGAUUAGCUUGUUGGCGGGGUAACGGCCACCAAGGCUACGAUCAGUAGGGGUUCUGAGAGGAAGGUCCCCCANAUUGGAACUGAGACACGGUCCAAACUCCUACGGGAGCA
rnacentral:rRNA from 1 species